rnacentral:rRNA from 1 species
GACGAACGCUGGCGGCGUGCUUAACACAUGCAAGUCGAGCGGUAAGGCCCUUUCGGGGGUACACGAGCGGCGAACGGGUGAGUAACACGUGGGUGACCUGCCCUCAGCUCUGGGAUAAGCCUGGGAAAACCGGGUCUAAUACCGGAUAUGACUCCAUGACGCAUGUUGUGGGGUGGAAAGCCUUGUGCGGCUGAGGAUGGGCCCGCGGCCUAUCAGCUUGUUGGUGGGGUGANGGCCUACCAAGGCGACGACGGGUAGCCGGCCUGAGAGGGCGACCGGCCACACUGGGACUGAGACACGGCCCAGACUCCUACGGGAGGCAGCAGUGGGGAAUCUUGCGCAAUGGGCGAAAGCCUGACGCAGCGACGCCGCGUGAGGGAUGACGGCCUGGUGU